rnacentral:rRNA from 1 species
GUGAACGCUGGCGGUAGGCCUAACACAUGCCAGUCGAACGGCAGCACAGUAAGAGCUUGCUCUUACGGGUGGCGAGUGGCGGACGGGUGAGGAAUACAUCGGAAUCUACUUUUUCGUGGGGGAUAACGUAGGGAAACUUACGCUAAUACCGCAUACGACCUACGGGUGAAAGCAGGGGACCUUCGGACCUUGCGCGAUUGAAUGAGCCGAUGUCGGAUUAGCUAGUUGGCGGGGUAAAGGCCCACCAAGGCGACGAUCCGUAUCUGGUCUGAGCGGAUGAUCAGCCACACUGGAACUGAGACACGGUCCAGACUCCUACGGGAGGCAGCAGUGGGGAAUAUUGGACAAUGGGCGCAAGCCUGAUCCAGCCAUACCGCGUGGGUGAAGAAGGCCUUCGGGUUGUAAAGCCCUUUUGUUGGGAAAGAAAAGCAGCAGGUUAAUACCCCGCUGUUCCGACGGUACCCAAAGAAUAAGCACCGGCUAACUUCGUG